UCCCGCGCCGGUCACCACCGCGCCGCCCCCCACCACCGCGCCGCCCCCCACCACGGCGCCAUCCCCCACCACCGCGCCGUCCCCUACUACCGCACCACAGAGGUACCCACCACAGCCUACCCCCUCCCCCCACCGAGCAAGCUCAGCACCGGGAUCUCCAUUCCCCUCUAGCGCCUGGCAUCAACAUCGCGUAGGUCAACCGCCUGCUGCACCCCGUCGCGCCAUUACGUCUUCUCGGCAAGGCCCAGCCACUCUCCUAGCACGUUCGCCUCGCUGCUCCCGUGAAGAACAGACAUUUGUUCAGCCCCUGCACCAUGAGGUAAUUUGCCUGCCACCGAGUGAUCCAUUUGUUUGAUGCUUGAAUUUGAACGUCUUUGGUAAUUUCCCCUCUGCUAAUCCAACUUGACAUGGAUCCUAUAUCUGAAUCAAAAAUAUGCGUACCUACAUCAAUAUGUCUGUAGCCUAGAUUUUCAAUUGGCAGGAUAGGUGCACAUGAAAGUCUGAACAUACAUGUGAACAGAUCUACAAAUUGGAAGGGAAUUAUGAACAGCAAGAAAAAUAUGUAAGUUCGGUUGUUGCCUUGUUGGUAAGUAAUCGAUAAUUGUACACCUUCCCCUGGAUCUUCUCUUGAAAACAAUAGAUUAAUCAGUAUAUGCUUUUCUUUGGACAACAUUCAUAUGAACAGUAGGGCCUAACACUUUCAGAAGAGUUCAAUAGUACCUUUCUGCAUGUAUAUAUAGGAUCCAACCCUUGCAAAGUAAGGCGGCAUGCAGUGAAGGAUAGACUAUGUUCAGAUGCUCUAGCUAAUCAUAUUAUUCACUUGGAAAAGAAAGCAAUAGUGAUGUGUGUAUUUUCAGUUCCUUUCAGAAUUUCUGUUGGAGGCUUCAAACUCCACAAGAUAAUGAAGUGAUACAUUCAGGAAGUUUGUUUCCUGAAUAUGAUGAUUGGCCUACUGAAGAUAUCAGUACAUUACUCUUCAUUUAGGAAUUACUUAACAUUAAGAUAGAUUAAUAUGGAUAUUCACUACUCUGCUUUUUGUUAUGUUCAUAUCCAAACACCCUUGUGUGAUAUCUUAUGAAUAUUAUGCUAAAACUGGAAUAAUGUUCCGUCCGUCCCUAUAUACAUGGCGUCCUUGUUCUUUGUGAUUUAACUUUCACCAAACUACAACUCAGUGGCAUAAUCAUUAAAGCGUUUGUUUUUUUCCUUUUAGGCAUGGCUGGUUCCUACUACAACUCAGUCACAUAUUUAGAUUUUAGCAUAAAUGGAACUGUUUAGACUGUAACAACCACAAGUCCAGAAGUACACCACAUUCAUGAGUAACAGUGUACAGUUUAUGCGUAGCCAUUUUAUAGUGCAAUAUGCAAAUGUUUAGAUAGGGAAGUGCUUACAUUGUUUUACAUAAAAGACCUUAUCUUGUCUUUUGACUUCCAGAUUUGAUUUGCAUUUCGCUUCUUCAGUAUAGAAUAUGUGAAUUGAUCUUGGAGUUUCCCAUUUUACCUUCUGUUUCUUAAUCUCAGUGAUUCACGAUUAAAUCUUAUUUGGUUUGUUAAUCUGCCAGGCACAUCAUGACAUGAGUUUGGCAGUUGAACUUUACAUGCCCAGUGUGGCAACCCUACGUACCUUGGGACUAGCAUCCAAAGAGAGGCAAUGUGAUUAUGUCGCCACAUGGUACAGUUUGUUUAUGUCAUGUGCUGAGGAACUGCAGCACGGUGUUGUGCUUUGGCAAGAACAUUGUCAUGGGAAAGUCUGUCACCAAGUAAUUUCUGAAGAUGUUCAUUGCUUUAUUGCUCUGGGGAAGAUCUACAGAGUUGCACAAAUCUUGCAUUUGACUCAUUGUGGAGGUCAGGAUGGUACUUCGGGUGGGGAGCAUGCAAAGUCAAUUAUACAGAUGUCAAAGGUUGAGAACCUAUAAGGGAGUAGCUAACUUUGACGAUAUCGUGGCACAGUCUUAUGCUUUUAUGGUGGCAAGAGGUGAUCUGGUAUUGGAAAUUCCUGUAGAGAAGAUCUUUUAUGCACAUAAGGUAAUGAUUUUCAGGUUCAACAUUCAGGGCAAGCCAGUGGUGACUGCAACCCAGAUGCUGGAGUCUAUGAUCAAGUCUCCUCGCCCUACUUGAGCAGAAGUGACCGAUGUUGCCAACGCAGUUCUUGAUGGCACUGACUAUGUCAUGCUCAGUGGUUAGACAGCUGCUGGGGCUUGGUUGGUUUGCUGCAGUUAUUUUGUUGUUUCUGUCAUACUCAUGCAACUCAACUGUUGCUUUACUGAAAAUACAAAUAAUUGAAACUUGUUCUCUCUAGCUGGCAAGUAAUGGCAUUGAGUGUGAUCCUAAUUCGUCACAGGAAGUUGAUCAUACAGUCAGAAAGCUUAAACCAGCAUUCAGAUAUGCAAAAUAACUCGCCGUAUACUAAGUUUUGAUUUCAUUGCUGUAGGAAAGGUGGUUGCCAGCUAGGCGUGUCUGUGUGGUGUGGCGCGGGAAGAUGGCUGGACGUGUCCACAUGUGGUGCAGGAGGCUGGGCCGAGGGCGCCCUCACGAUAUGGAAGACUAGAAGUAGCAACAUAACGAUAUAUUGAAGAAUGUAUUUUUUUCAGUGUGUUCCAAAUAAUUUAAAUGUAAUGAUGCUAUUUUAGUGGUGUCGUGCUUUAUUUUCUUUGCUAUUAAAUAUUUUGGACUUGCAAUAAAAAAAUAUCGUGUGACUGAAGCUCUGUACAGCUUAACAUAAUAUUUUGU